CGAGGGGCAUCAGGAUGUAGCAAUACAUUGCUGGCGACCGGCGCACGGGUGAGUAACACGUAUCCAACCUGCCUUUUACUCGGGGAUAGGCUUUCGAAAGAAAGAUUAAUACCCGAUGGUAUAAUAUUUCCGCAUGGGAUUAUUAUUAAAGAAUUUCGGUAAAAGAUGGGGAUGCGUUCCAUUAGGCAGUUGGCGGGGUAACGGCCCACCAAACCUUCGAUGGAUAGGGGUUCUGAGAGGAAGGUCCCCCACAUUGGAACUGAGACACGGUCCAAACUCCUACGGGAGGCAGCAGUGAGGAAUAUUGGUCAAUGGGCGAGAGCCUGAACCAGCCAAGUAGCGUGAAGGAUGACUGCCCUAUGGGUUGUAAACUUCUUUUAUAGGGGAAUAAAAUGAGCCACGUGUGGCUUUUUGUAUGUACCCUAUGAAUAAGGAUCGGCUAACUCCGUGCCAGCAGCCGCGGUAAUACGGAGGAUCCGAGCGUUAUCCGGAUUUAUUGGGUUUAAAGGGAGCGUAGGUGGACAUGUAAGUCAGUUGUGAAAGUUUGCGGCUCAACCGUAAAAUUGCAGUUGAUACUGUGUGUCUUGAGUACAGUAGAGGUGGGCGGAAUUCGUGG
rnacentral:rRNA from 1 species